GAUGAAGAACGCAGCGAAAUGCGAUAAGUAAUGUGAAUUGCAGAAUUCAGUGAAUCAUCGAAUCUUUGAACGCACAUUGCGCCCGCCAGUAUUCUGGCGGGCAUGCCUGUUCGAGCGUCAUUACAACCCUCAGGCCCCCGGGCCUGGCGUUGGGGAUCGGCGGAGCCCCCCGUGGGCACACGCCGUCCCCCAAAUGCAGUGGCGGUCCCGCCGCAGCUUCCCUCGCGUAGUAGCUAACACCUCGCGACUGGAGAGCGGCGCGGCCACGCCGUAAAACACCCAACUCUUCUGAAGUUGACCUCGAAUCAGGUAGGAAUACCCGCUGAACUUAAGCAUAUCAAUAAGCGGAGGA
rnacentral:misc_RNA from 1 species